rnacentral:rRNA from 1 species
UGGGGAAUAUUGGACAAUGGGCGAAAGCCUGAUCCAGCAAUGCCGCGUGAGUGAUGAAGGCCUUAGGGUUGUAAAGCUCUUUUACCCGGGAUGAUAAUGACAGUACCGGGAGAAUAAGCUCCGGCUAACUCCGUGCCAGCAGCCGCGGUAAUACGGAGGGAGCUAGCGUUGUUCGGAAUUACUGGGCGUAAAGCGCGCGUAGGCGGUUUUUAAGUCAGAGGUGAAAGCCCAGUGCUCAACACUGGAACUG